rnacentral:piRNA from 1 species
CCUAGUGGAUAUGAUGGAGAGGGG